rnacentral:rRNA from 1 species
CCUACGGGUGGCAGCAGUAGGGAAUUUUCGGCAAUGGGGGAAACCCUGACCGAGCAACGCCGCGUGAACGAAGAAGUUCUUCUUAAUGUAAAGUUCUUUUAACAGGGAAGAAAGAGAAAUUUGACGGUACCUGUUGAAUAAGCUCCGUCUAACUACGUGCCAGCAGCCGCGGUCAUCCGUAGGGAUGGAGCGUUAUCCGGAAUUAUUGGGCGUAAGGGGUGGGUAGAUGGCAUAGUAAGCCUUUUUGAAAAAUGCUGGGCUAAACCCAGUAGGGCAAAAGAUACUGCAAAGCUAGAGUAUGACAGAGGCGAGUGGAACUACAUGUGUAGCGGUAAAAUGCGUAAAUAUAUGGAAGAACACCAGUGGCGAAGGCGGCUUGCUGGGUUGAAACUGACACUGAGGCACGAAAGCGUGGGUAGCAAACAGGAUUAGAUACCCCUGUAGUC